CAGGGUUUUGCCGUCACAUGGGAGACAUCUGCCGGGAGGGCGGGUUGGGCUGCUGAUGGGUCCAGCUCCAUCACCCCAAGAAUCAAGGCAGACUGACUGCGUCACUCUGGCCCUCAAGAUCCAUAAUCCAAGUGCUCUCUGAAUAAUACAAGAUAACAA
rnacentral:lncRNA from 1 species